AAGGAUUACUUACCCUUACUUACUCUAUCCUAGGUAUUCCUUGAAGAGGUGGGGUUUCAGGUGUCUCCGGAAGGUGGUGAUUGACUCCGCUGUCCUGGCGUCGUGAGGGAGUUUGUUCCACCAUUGGGGGGCCAGAGCAGCGAACAUUCAUUGAAUCAGAUGGUUCAUUCAUCACAAAACCCACUGAUAUUGCCAAUGACUUUAAUGAUUUUGUCAUUGGCAAGAUUAGCUAACUUAUCUUGUCAUGAAUAAUGUGGAAAUUGAGCAAGUUGAGGUGACUAAACUGCUUGGAGUAACACUGGAUUGUAAGCUGUCAUGGUCAAACAUGUUGAUACAACAGUGGCUAAAAUGGGGAGAAGUCUGUCCAUAAUAUAGCGUUGCUCUGCCUUAACAACACGAUUGACAAGACAGGUUCAACAGGCCCAAGUUUUGUCGCAUUUGGACUACUGUUCAGUCGUGUGGUCAGGUGCCACAAAGAGGGACUUGGGAAAAUUACAAUUGGCUUUGAACAGGGCAGCAUGGCUGGCCCUUAAAUGUACACAGAGAGCUAACAUUAAUGAUAUGCAUGUCAAUCCCUCAUGGCUCAAAGUGGAGGAGAGAGUGACUUCAUCACUACUUGUUUUUGUAAGUGUUGACAAGCGUAAUGCACCGAGCUGUCUGUUUGAACUACUGGCACAAAGCUUGGACACCCAUGCGUACCCCACAAGACAUGCCACCAGAGGUCUCUUCACAAUCCCAAGGCCAGAACAGACUGGAAAGUGCAUAGUGCUACAUAGAGCCAUGCCGACAUGGAACUCUAUUCCACAUCAGGUAACUUAUGCAAGCAAUAGAAUCAGAUAAAAAAAAUACACCUUAUGGAACAGCGGGGACUGUGAAGAGACACAAACACAGGUACAGACACGCAUGCGCACACAGGCGCUAGAACACGCACUCUACACUUACAUUGCAAUAUUGUUGUAUGGUGGUAUCAUACAUUUUGUUGUGGAUAUGUUGUGGUGUGACAGUGUUAUACAUAUGUACUGUUUUCAUAUUUUGUUUUAUGUGUAAUAUAAGUGUUUUAAUGUGUUUGGACCCCAGAAAGUGUCAGCAGCUAAUGUGGAUCCCUAAUGUGCAGUGCAGACACAAACUAAAAAAGCUGAAACAGGAAUACAAAAAAAUCAAGGAUAACAAGAGUGGUUCCAAUCAUUGUGGAGAAAGAUGGUUUGCCAUCAUCGAUAGUGUUCUCUGUCACCAACCAAGUACUUUGGAGUCUGGGAUGAUACAUUCAGAUCCAAAGCCUUUGGAGUUGACUUAACCUGAUUUCCCUCAAGAAAUUGAGGAUUCUGGUUGGCUGUCUCGUACGGCAUCUCGUACACGUUUUUUACACAGUAACUUGCCUGUUACCGCAAGCUUCGUAGUUAAUAUUGAUUAUGUGAGAACUGUCAACUGAGCUGUUGCUUCCACAGAUCAAGCUGUAUCCAGUUGGACACCUGAUGAGGUCCAUGGACUCGUUGGUCACCAACCAGGAACUUCAGGAGCUGAUGUGAUACAUUCUGCUACUAUGCUGCUGGAGUUGACUCAACCGGAUUCCCCUGUAAAAGAGGAACCUUAUGAGUAAUGAUGAUGAGUUGGAGGCUACAGAGUCUAACUUUGUGGAGUUGGUCCAAACCCUGCUGGAAGACCCGUCUGAGCGGGAGCACUUCUUCCAGGAGGUGUUCCCAGCACACUAUGGCCCUCGGUAUGACACAGCACUGCAGGUACUGGUGUGGGAGUUCCUCUCCAGACUGGAGGAGCUGCUACCUGUACCAGACUUCACACAGAAUGAAAUCCUCAGACAGCAGCAUGGCUUGGUGAUACCCCCUCUGUCGUGGAGGAAUGUGGAAGCACCAUAUUUGACACUGAAGAGCUGAAGACUCUUCUGCAGCACCAUCAGCAUCAUGGAAACCUGAAAAGAGGUUAUUUCUCUUACUACACUGCAGAUACCAUCCUGUCCGCACUUUCCCUCCCUCCAAUAAUAAGAGUUGUCAUUAGCUCUGAGCAGGCCAGCUCUGACAAAACAAGGUCAUGCUCCAAUGGAGAUGAAUGCUUAAAGAAUGGGAUAAAGAGAGAUGCAGAAGGACCAUUUAAUUGGGGCAGAGAGGAGGAGGAAGAAGAUAAUUUUUAUUUAGAGCAACAAGAGCAGAUUAAUGUUUUACCUGCAGAGAAUUCUGGUCCGUGUAUCCCAGUACCCAGCAACGGAUUGAAUAGUGACAUGGAAUCCCAGGUCCUUGCCUGCUCCCUCUGCUCAUUCUCUCACAGUGAUAUGGCAAAACUCCACCAGCACAUCAGGAUUAGGCAUUGAGGAGAGGACCGAAAGCUUCGACGCCCUAAAGAAUCUGGGACUGAAAAUCACCUUCCCUCAAGCAGAACAAAACUACUUCACCAGCACAUCAGGACUAGGCACCAAGGAGAUGAACAGAAGUGUCAACACUCUGAAGAAUCUGGGACUGAAAACCUUCACUCAAGCACAACAAUUAUCCCCUAUAGACCCAAUAACAUGACUCUAAGCUGCCCUCAUUGUGGGAAUGUUUACCAAAACCUCAACUCUCUGAAAAAACAUAUAAGAAUUCACACAUUUCCAUUCUGUUGUAACCAGUGUGAGAGAAGAUUUUCUACCAGAUUAGGUCUGAAAAGACAUCAGCGAGCUCACACAGGGGAAAGACCAUUCAAAUGCUCUCACUGUGACCGGAGAUUCAUGUGUGCAUAUUCACUCAAAAUGCAUGUAUGCACACACACUGGGGAGCGUCCCUACUCUUGCACUAUUUGUGGGAAAACAUCUGUCCAACAUCUAGCAAGACACAUGCGGAUGCAUGCAGGGGAGAAAAACUAUUUAUGUAACAUCUGUGGUAAGGCAUUCCUUAGCUCAGGAGAACUGAGGCUGCAUACACGAUCGCACACAGGAGAAUGUCCCUACACCUGUGAACAUUGCGGAAGGGGUUUCAAAGCAGCAUGCCAUCUUCAGAUUCAUAUACGAAGAUUUCACACAGGGGAGCGUCCAUACCCCUGCACCCUGUGCACAAAACGUUUUGUCAUUCUCAGGGAACUUAAAAGACACAUGUUAAUUCACACAGGUGAGAAAGGUCACAAAUGCUCCAAGUGUGGGAAGAGUUUUUCUUUAAAGGAAUCUCUGAAAACACAUCUUAAAAGUCAUGGAUUUUAAGACAUUCUAGACAGAUCAUAUUAGUUAUGCAUAAAGUCUUGUAGACGGUAUUACUUCUUUCCCCCACAGGUCAGGCGUUAUGGGUGGGUCUUAGGGGGCCUGGCUCCAAAAGUCCAAAAGUCAAAAGUGUAGACACCUACUCAUUCCAGGGUAUUUCUUUAUUUGUACUAUUUUCUACAUUGUAGAAUAAUAGUGAAAACAAACUAUGAAAUAACACAUGGAAUCAUGUAGUAACCAAAAAAGUGUUAAACAAAUCAAAAUAUAUUUUAGAUUCUAAAAAGUAGCCACCCUUUGCCUUGAUGACAGCUUUGCACACUCUUGGCAUUCUCUCAACCAGCUUAAUCAAAUCAAAUCAAAUUUUAUUUGUCACAUACACAUGGUUAGCAGAUGUUAAUGCGAGUGUAGCGAAAUGCUUGUGCUUCUAGUUCCGACAAUGCAGUAAUAACCAACAAGUAAUCUAACUAACAAUUCCAAAACUACUGUCUUAUACACAGUGUAAGGGG